rnacentral:misc_RNA from 1 species
GACACUGCAUGCUUUUUUUUUUUUCUGCAAAGGGACAAUGGUGGCUUUGCCUUUAUAUUACCUGUUAAAACCUAAAAGUUGAGGCAGAUGGAAUGAAAUCACUGUCUCAGGUGCUAAAUAGUUAUGCUGUAAAACAUCAUCUUUUGUUGUUUAUAUUGAUAAAGUAUCUAUUGGAGUUGUGAAUUGAAAAAGUAGAUAUCUUUUAACAAUUUGAUUUUGCCACAAUUGGUUGCUUCUUUAAUCCAAGAGUACAUUUGAGUACAAUUUCAUCAAUCUCAAAAUAUAUAUAUCAUCAGUCUCAUAAGAAAACAAUGUAGAUCUGCUAGUUGAUUGGUCUGGUGGGCUUGAGGCUAGUUUGAUCUCAAUUCAAUUGAAAUAAUCCUAAGAUUAAUUUUUUUGAGUGUAGCUCUAAUCUGUAUAAUUUUGAGUCUGAUCGAUUAGAAAGUUUAUGGUUCAGUUAGUCAUUGUUGGAAUCCCACAUCGAAAGAAUAUAAAGUAAAAGGGUAAUAAAUAAGUGGUUGGGUUGCAACAUUGACUUGAUUAGUUAUCUUGAUGUGUCAAGCAAUCUAAUAACUUAUAUAAGC